GUUUGACUACCGCCGUAGAGUCGACUUCCGCUCCCGGAGUGCUUAGCGCGCGUGCCCUCACUGUCGCCAGGGCCGCCAUCUUGAGAAAGGGCCGACUGUCGGACUUCGGCUAUUGAUGAAGCUUGACUUUUGUCUCCGCUAGCUUUUUGCCUCACUUGCUUCCCAGCUCAUCAUUCCUCCCGCUCUGAAAAACUGUAGAAGAAAACCCAGAAAAACAAAUAGUAACAGAUUAUACUUUUACUCACUCAAUUUUGAAACUGGGCCUUAUGUAACACAGACUGACAUGGAAGUCGCUGCAUAGCCCAGGAUGAUCGUGAUUCCCUUAUCUCCACCUCGGUUUCUCUGUGUAACAGCUCCUCUGGCUAUCCUGGAACUCUCUUUGUAGACCAGGAUGGCCUUGAACUCACAGAGAUCCACUUGCCUCUGCCUACCAACACCUGGGAUUAAAAACGUGGGCCACCACUGUCUGGCAUUAUCUCAUCAUUUUUAUUGCUGGGAAUUUUCUUUAAUGUCCACUUGAAUAUGAUGAAUACAGUGACAUUUAGGUUUUGUUAGUCCCAAAGAUUUGAGGAGAAAGACCACUUACCCAAAUCAUCAUAGCCAAACUAGUUAAAGCAAGCAAUUAAUCAAA